AGUAAUGAGAAGCUAUUGUCACAUUUGGUGCUGUACAAGCCUUAUUUUUUCCUGCUUCUGUCACUUUCAAAAUCCAUGCAUGUCAAAGUGAAAACAGAUUUUAAGAUGAUCAACUCCAGACAAUAUAAGUGAAUGUACAGAUUGGUGCAGAAUUUGUUGGGUCAAAUUUCACUGCUAAAUUUGAUAGGGCAAUUGGACAGGAAAGCCAGUGAGAUGGCUCUGUUGUUCCAUUUGUAUUGAAAGUGAUGCUUUACUUUUUCCUUGAAAUCAAAUCCAAUGGAGAGUUCACCCUACACUAGAAUUACAAUGUCUGGAGGCCCUGUUAAUCAGUUAACUGCUUUCUUCUCAAUUGGGCAGAUGAAUCCCCCUACUUUGAAGGGACUUUUGUCGCCAAAGACACUGAAGUUGAGGCAUUUGUGUCAAGGAUUCGCCAUCAAGUCAAAACUGCACCUGGACGCCCAUCCUGCGGUAAAUCCACGUUUUAAGUAGGCAGGGAGGCUACCAGAAAGUCUUAGCCCAGACUGGACGAAGAGGGCAUGAUGACAGCAUGAUGACUGCAGGCACUGCAUUCUCUUCAGUGGCCUCAACUUGUUUCGAGGAGAAAUAUUUGCCUACCCUCUGUACCUACAGCAAGAUCUUGGUGAAAAACACAAGAUAGAGUUUGUUUGCACAGACGUUAUGUGUAAAUACUACCCAUAUGUGCAGAGGGUAGUUGAGACAUUUCCAGAGCUGCAGUAUGUCCUGCAAAUGCGACCAUUUUUAUCCGUGAUGCAUGCGAAAGGUCACUCAACGAGAUGUGAGGUUGAGUGGAGUGGUCGCAACCAGAAGGGGGCAGGUCUGACAGUUGGUGAGGAAGUGGAAAUGGUAAAUUCUUACCUCUCACGUGUAGCGACUACCACCAAAUACAUGAAAAAAGCAAGCGAGUAACAGAUUUAAAGAUCUUCAAUUUGCGGCUCGUUCUCUGUUCCAAGUAAAUUCCUAAAGAGUAAAACUAUGUCUUUCAGGACGGACCGACAUGAUAACGCUUCAUGCUCGUGGUUGGAACAUGGGAAAGGUGAAAGUCUUGCACAGAUACCUCGCCAAAAGAUAUGUCAAGUCUAAGCAGAGGACAGUUGCUGUGGGCAAGGAACUCCAAAACCUUUUGACAACACUGCAGACAACUCAAGUGGAGAUGAAGCAGUGGGUGAAGGAGGUUGAGGAGUGGGCUGCAUCCAGUGAGUUUUUCUGUUGCUACAAAAUAAUGUAUUCACUUUCAUCUGUUUUCAUUAUACAUUUAAGGAAAUGGUGUUGAAUGA